UACAUGCAAGUCGAGCGGACAGAAGGGAGCUUGCUCCCGGAUGUUAGCGGCGGACGGGUGAGUAACACGUGGGUAACCUGCCUGUAAGACUGGGAUAACUCCGGGAAACCGGAGCUAAUACCGGAUAGUUCCUUGAACCGCAUGGUUCAAGGAUGAAAGACGGUUUCGGCUGUCACUUACAGAUGGACCCGCGGCGCAUUAGCUAGUUGGUGGGGUAUUGGCUCACCAAGGCGACGAUGCGUAGCCGACCUGAGAGGGUGAUCGGCCACACUGGGACUGAGACACGGCCCAGACUCCUACGGGAGGCAGCAGUAGGGAAUCUUCCGCAAUGGACGAAAGUCUGACGGAGCAACGCCGCGUGAGUGAUGAAGGUUUUCGGAUCGUAAAGCUCUGUUGUUAGGGAAGAACAAGUGCGAGAGUAACUGCUCGCACCUUGACGGUACCUAACCAGAAAGCCACGGCUAACUACGUGCCAGCAGCCGCGGUAAUACGUAGGUGGCAAGCGUUGUCCGGAAUUAUUGGGCGUAAAGGGCUCGCAGGCGGUUUCUUAAGUCUGAUGUGAAAGCCCCCGGCUCAACCGGGGAGGGUCAUUGGAAACUGGGAAACUUGAGUGCAGAAGAGGAGAGUGGAAUUCC
rnacentral:rRNA from 2 species